GCCCAGACACCAGAAUUCUAAUAGGUAGCACCUUUCCUACACCUAAUGUAGGCCCAGACCACAGAAUUCUAGUAGGUAGCAUCUAUACAGCACCUACUAUACGCCCAGACCCCAGAAUUCUAAUAGUUAGGAUCUAUGGAGCAGCUAACGUAGACCCAGACCCCAGAAGUCUAAUAGCUAGCAUCUAUACAGCAACUACCGUAGUCCCAGAAACUAGAAUUCGAAUAGGUAGCAUCUAUACAGCAAUUAAUGUAUGCCCAGACCACACAAUUCUAGUAGGUAGCAUCUAUACAUCUCCAAAUGUAGGCCAGGAUACCAGAAUUGUAAUAGUUAACAUCUAUAUAACACCUAAUGUAUGCCCAGGCUGCAGAAUUCUAAUAGGUAGCACUAGGCCCAGACCCCAGAAUUUUAAUAGCUAGCAUCUAGACAGAACCUAAUGUAUACCCAGACCACAGAAUUCAAUUAGGUAGCAUCUAUAGAGAACCUAUUGUGGGCCCAGACCCCAGAAUUCUAAUAGCUAGCAUCUAUACAGCACCUAAUGUAUACCCAGACAACAGAAUUCUAGUAGGUAGCAUCUAUACAGCAUCUAUUGUAGGCCCAGACCCCAGAAUUCUAAUAGCAAACAUCUAUACAGCACCUAAGUAUGCCCAGGCCCCGGAAUUCUAAUAGUUAGCAUCUAUACAGCACCUAAUGUAUGCCCAGACCCCAAAAUUCUAGUAGGUAGGAUAUAUAGAGCACCUAUCGUAGGUCCAGAUCCCAGAAUUCUAAUAGCUAACAUGUAUAAAGCACCUAAUGUAAGCCCAGACCCCUUAAUUCUAAUAGGUAGCAUCUAUAUACCACCUAAUGUAUGCCCAGACCACAGAAUUCAAGUAGGUAGCACCUAUACUCUCAUAUUGUAGGCCUAGACCCCAGAAUUCUAAUAGCUAACAUCUAUACAACACUUAAUGUAUGCCCAGACGCAAGGAUUCUAAUAGGUAACCUAUACAGCACCUAAUGUAUACCCAGACCACAGAAUUCUAAUAGGUAGCAUCUAUACAGCACCUAAUGUAUGGACAGACCACAGAAUUCUAAUUGGUAGCAUCUAUACAGCAUCUAUUGUAGGCCCAGACCCCAGAAUUCUAAUAGCUAGCAUCUAUACAGCACCUAAUGUAUGCACAGACCCCAGAAGUCUAAUAGCUAGCAUCUAUACAGCACCUACCGUAGGCCCAGAAACCAGAAUUCUAAUAGGUAGCAUCUAUACAGCAAUUAAUGUAUGCCCAGACCACACAAUUCUAGUAGGUAGCAUCUAUACAUCUCCAAAUGUAGGCCAGGAUCCCAGAAUUGUAAUAGUUAACAUCUAUAUAACACCUAAUGUAUGCCCAGGCCACAGAAUUCUAAUAGGUAGCACUAGGCCCAGACCACAGCAUUUUAAUAGCUAGCAUCUAGACAGAACCUAAUGUAUACCCAGACCACAGAAUUCUAGUAGGUAGCAUCUAUACAGCAUCUAUUGUAGGCCCAGACCCCAGAAUUCUAAUAGCAAACAUCUAUGCAGCACCUAAGUAUGCCCAGACCCCUUAAUUCUAAUAGGUAGCAUCUAUAUACCACCUAAUGUAUGCCCAGACCACAGAAUUCAAGUAGGUAGCACCUAUACUCUCAUAUUGUAGGCCUAGACCCCAGAAUUCUAAUAGCUAGCAUCUAUAAAACACCUAAUGGAUGCCCAGACGCAAGGAUUCUAAUAGGUAACCUAUACAGCACCUAAUGUAUACCCAGACCACAGAAUUCUAAUAGGUAGCAUCUAUACAGCACCUAAUGUAUGGACAGACCGCAGAAUUCUAAUUGGUAGCAUCUAUACAGCAUCUAUUGUAGGCCCAGACCCCAGAAUUCUAAUAGCUAGCAUCUAUACAGCACCUAAUGUAUUCGCAGACCCCAGAAGUCAAAUAGCUAGCAUCGAUAAAGCACCUACCGUAGGCCCAGAAACCAAAAUUCUAAUAGGUAGCAUCUUUACAGCAUGUAAUGUAUGCCCAGACCACAGAAUUCUAGUAGGUAGCAUCUAUACAAUACCUAUUGUACGCCCAGAUGCCAAAAUUCUAGUAGUUAGGAUAUAUAGAACACCUAUCGUAGAUCCAGACCCCAGAAUUCUAAUAGCUAACAUGUAUAAUGCACCUAAUGUAAGCCCAGACCCCUUAAUUCUAAGGAAUGGCAUCUAUAUACC
rnacentral:lncRNA from 1 species